AGAAUCAACGCUGGCGGCGUGCCUAACACAUGCAAGUCGCACGAGAAAGGGACUUCGGUCCUGAGUACAGUGGCGCACGGGUGAGUAACACGUGAAUCAUCUACCUCCGAGUGGGGAAUAACCUAGAGAAAUCUGGGCUAAUACCGCAUAACACUUACGAGUCAAAGCAGCAAUGCGCUUGGAGAGGAGUUCGCGGCAGAUUAGUAGUUGGCGGGGUAAUGGCCCACCAAGACGAUGAUCUGUAUCCGGCCUGAGAGGGCGCACGGACACACUGGAACUGAAACACGGUCCAGACUCCUACGGGAGGCAGCAGUGGGGAAUUUUGCGCAAUGGGGGAAACCCUGACGCAGCAACGCCGCGUGGAGGAUGAAAUAUCUUGGUAUGUAAACUCCUUUCGAUGGGGAAGAUAAUGACGGUACCAUAGAAGAAGCCCCGGAUAACUUCGUGCCAGCAGCCGC
rnacentral:rRNA from 1 species